rnacentral:lncRNA from 1 species
AAGGAGUAGAAAUUGUCUGACAGUUUGGGCGGUGGAACAUUUGCUGAGUUAAACAAUGACCGAGAGAAAGGAAGUGCUCCCAUUUUGGACUUCAACAGAGACCAAAACCAAGAGAGGAAUCAAAUAGGAGUGGGCUGUUUCAUUUGAUAGCAGAAACCGUGAGGAGCAAAAGAGAGAAACAGAGUGUGAAGCUUUCUUCCUCCUCCAACCUCAAAACCGUGAGCAAAAGUGCGAGAUAGGGAGAGAAAUUUGGCUAGCUUCAUCACCUGCUAACCAUAAUCGAAAAACAAUAAUUGCAAGGAGAAGGGGAGUGAGAAUCUGGUGCUAGGAAUUGAGGAAUCGAAGCAGAGGUUUUGAGCAGUUUGCAAUUAGCGGACUUUGGGGGAAAAGAGGUAAGAUUCUGUUGAAAUUCUCGGCUUAUUUAGUGUAAUUGGAUAUAUAUGAGCUGCAUGUUAAGUUUUAGCAUGGAAAUGAAUUUUUGACCGAGGAAAAAUUCUGGUUUGAAACUGAGUUUAAAGCUGGAAUUUGCCACUGUUAUUAACAUUUCUCGGGAUAAUAAUGUUAAGAGGUGCAUGUAACAGAUUUAUCUUCAGUUUAUAAGGUGAAAUAUAGCCAUAGGAACUUGUGAAAAUUGGAACUGCGAGCCUGAAAGAAAUCUGAUGCAGGCUGCUAUGCAUUAGGUUUUGCAGCUUUGCGCAGACCUGAGUUUUCGUUCAAUUUUUCUUCUAAAUUCUGGUCAUGAACUGCCCUGUUUUGCUUAGGGUAAAUUGUAGUUGAAUCAAAACACUCUGUACUAUGAUUUGGAAUAGAAAACUAAGGAGGAACGAAAGGGGGAAAAAAACGAGUUGCAACGUUACUACCUCCUGAACCUGUUGGCUUCGACUGAGAAGGACAGAUAGCAAAUUUUAGAUAUUCCCUGCAAACGCGUUAGCUUCUAAACUAACUUAUAGAGUUGAAACAUGUCAUAAUGCCUCUAAACCUCAACAAGAAAGACAGAAACGAGUAGGAACUAAACCGAAUGUUGAAGGGAGAAUAAGUUCAGUGACUGCAGGAAGAGUGGUCGAGAAAAUGAAGCAGAAUGUGCAACUUCUUGUUUGAUAUACUGGAAACACUUACUAGCAAACACAUGAAAUACGUGUAAUCUUUUGUCGCAAUUGAAAGGUACCUUGCAACCAGUAAACUUAGGAAAGGACUAGCUGAGUUUGGCAAAAGAAAGCUGAUGCAUUCCGCGGUGAUGCUGAGAAGGAGGAAAUCAACUCUUGACCAGUUUUCUUCCAAUUUCCAACACUAUAAACUUUCAUAGAUGAUAGCCAAGGCUGCUUUGUGGUUUAGUAACUAUGUUUAGCACUAUGAGUAGAGUUAAACUGAGGCAAAUAAGGAGGAAAGCUGUGAGUCAAGCUUCUGAAUUACAUCAUGGCCGAGAGAGAGGGAAGAGUUUGAUCAGUCUUUCCUUUGAGUUUAGCUACCAAUUUUCUACGUUCUGUUUAAGGCCACUUUGUAGCUUAAUAAAUAUGAUUUGCCUGUUUAGUUGGAACAUGAAAUUGAAAGGAAAGAUUUGAGAAAAUAACCAAAUGUUGGGCUGAUAUAUUGCUAGGAAGCUACUUGAAGGCCAUGAUAGCUGAUGGCAGUUUUUGGUAGGGGAAUUUGGUUAACUUGCUGAAACUAUGAGUCAUGUACCUUAAUUCAUGGUGGACAGAAUGUGUAUUGUGUUUGGUGACCUAGGCAAGUAAAAGAUAGAAACUCUACCAAAAACUUUGAAGUAAGGUUGCUGGAAAUUUGUUUAAUGGUCACUCUCAUGUGAUAUUUGGAAAAUUUCAUGAUAAUUGGCUGCCAUCUUGAGUGAGACGUUGUACAAUAUCCUGUCCCUGUUCUUAUGUGCACCCUAUUGACUUUUAACAUUUGAAAGACUGGUAAAACCUUAGGGAAUUCUAGCUAAAACUAGUAAAGAAAAGCGGAGAUCCAAACUAUUAUAUUGUUGGAGAAACUAACGUUUGAUGGAAUGGAUUGCUGGAAAUAGAUGCUGCUUGCCUUGAUCUAUGCUAGACCAAAAGUACAUUGAAAUACUUAAAACUAUAAGCAAGUAAAAGAGUGAAGUUUUAUUGAAAACUUGAAGUAUACAGCUGGAAUUUUGGUUUGUUGGUUGAAAUGAGGGUUAGUUAAGCUUUCUAUGUUAUUUUUGGAAACUCUAAGGUAACUAGUUGUAGCUAUAUACAUUAAACGGCUUCUAACCACUUAAUCUUGCCUUCAUAAACAUUUUAAAGACUUUAGAACUUGAGGGGGCUGGUUUUGUCAAACCAAAUCUAAACUACAAACAACUUAGAAUCCGGUUUAGUUUAAAAAGGAACGAAUGAAGUGUUCAUAGGGCAUAAUCAUUAAAUAUUGAAUUGAGCAAGAUAUAAUCUUGGUUUAAACAGACAAGACUAUAAACUUGGAAUAUGUAUAUUUUUUGUUUAAAAUGAUAAAGUUGAUAAGUUUGGAGAUAAAAUUUAAGAAAAGGUUGGAUAUAUUAUAUCUCGUAUUUUAAAGCCAAAACUUGACUUUAAUAAGUUUAAAUUAUAAGGUAACAAAUGAUAAGUGAUUAUCUAUGAAUUGUAUCUUCAUUUUAGAGUUAUAAAUUUAUCUCAGGGGGUAGCUGUGAGCCAGAAAACAACCCCAGGUUCGAGAGUAAUUUAUUUGGAAUUUGGUGAGUGUUUCCGAAUUUAUGUGUUUAACUGUUUAUGGUUACUUAAGUGAAAUUAUGUGAUAAGUGUACAUAUUAUGAAAUAUUGUUAAGUGAUUCAUUGUAAAGUGUAUCUCAAUUGUCCUUCGCCCUCUAAGUCGAGAGUGUACUUUAUCGCACUUGACUUAGUUAAGUUUGAAGGUUGAUAAUUGACUCAAUGUUACUGUAAGUGUGCAUAAAUAUAAGCCGUAUGUGUACUUUACCGUAUUGGCUGAACUGGGCCCCAAAAUCCUUUGUUCAACAAACUAUUCGAGCUAGCAAAGGGCUUGGUCGGAUAGAACGGAAGCUUUGGGUAAAUAUUUCGGUAUACUCGAGUAUUACUCUGAAGUUAGGAGAUCAUUGAACUAAUUAUUGAAUGUAGGGGAUUGUUUAUUGUUUUAGAGGACAUAAGGAGGUGAAUGGGCGGAGUGUGCAAUGAUAUUGAAAUGCAUGUACAAUCACAAUGAAAUGAAUGUCUCACGACACUGCAAUGACUAUACAGUGAUGUUGAAAUGAUUCCUAGAAAGAGUUUGUAUCCUUUUGAAAGUAACUAUACAGUGAAAUGUUCAUUACUUGCUUAAUUUUACCGGUUCAAAUGUUUAUUGAAUGUUACUUGUUCUGCAAACCUCACUGAGUUUUAACUCAACCCUUUAGUUUUGUUUUCCUUACAGGAGUUGGUGGUCGGGAAACAAACGAGAGAGCUUAGGGUGUUAACAUGAAGUCUUCGUGAUUGUAAAUUAUCUAGUAUCAUACCACGGCUGAAGUUUUGUAUUAAACUUGGCAUAGUAAAAGAUUUGAACGUGUGGUUUUAGUAUACCACAAUAUUAUCUCUAAAGUUAAUGUAAGAUUGAUGAGAGUUUAUCAAAUGUUAUCUCUGAAGUUAAUGUUAGUGAAUGAUUCCUGGCGAGAGCCAGGCGGGCGGUCCGCUAACUUCUAGGGUAUGCCCUAGGAAAAGAUGGGGCCAUCACAAGAAAGCCUUAGCAUAUUCACCCACUUGUGUUGCAU